AGUGAACGCUGGCGGUAGGCCUAACACAUGCAAGUCGAACGGCAGCACAGUAAGAGCUUGCUCUUACGGGUGGCGAGUGGCGGACGGGUGAGGAAUACAUCGGAAUCUACUUUUUCGUGGGGGAUAACGUAGGGAAACUUACGCUAAUACCGCAUACGACCUACGGGUGAAAGCAGGGGAUCUUCGGACCUUGCGCGAUUGAAUGAGCCGAUGUCGGAUUAGCUAGUUGGCGGGGUAAAGGCCCACCAAGGCGACGAUCCGUAGCUGGUCUGAGAGGAUGAUCAGCCACACUGGAACUGGGACACGGUCCAGACUCCUACGGGAGGCAGCAGUGGGGAAUAUUGGACAAUGGGCGCAAGCCUGAUCCAGCCAUACCGCGUGGGUGAAGAAGGCCUUCGGGUUGUAAAGCCCUUUUGUUGGGAAAGAAAAGCAGCAGGUUAAUACCCCGCUAUUCUGACGGUACCCAAAGAAUAAGCACCGGCUAACUUCGUG
rnacentral:rRNA from 1 species